UACGUAGGGUGCGAGCGUUAAUCGGAAUUACUGGGCGUAAAGCGUGCGUAGGCGGUUCUCCAAGUCCGUUGUGAAAGCCCCGGGCUCAACCUGGGAAUGGCAGUGGAAGCUAGGGGACUGGAAUCUGGCAGAGGGGGGUGGAAUGCCGCGUGUAGCAGUGAAAUGCGUAGAGAUGCGGCGGAACACCGAUGGCGAAGGCAGCCCCCUGGGCUGAGAUUGACGCUCAGGCACGAAAGCG
rnacentral:rRNA from 1 species